rnacentral:rRNA from 1 species
GGAAUCUUGCGCAAUGGGCGAAAGCCUGACGCAGCAACGCCGCGUGCGGGAUGAAGGCCUUCGGGCUGUAAACCGCUUUCAGCAGGAACGAAAAUGACGGUACCUGCAGAAGAAGGAGCGGCCAACUACGUGCCAGCAGCCGCGGUGACACGUAGGCUCCAAGCGUUGUCCGGAUUUAUUGGGCGUAAAGAGCUCGUAGGCGGUUUAGUAAGUCGGGUGUUAAAACUCUGGGCUCAACCCGGAGAGGCCAUCCGAUACUGCUGUGACUUGAGUUCAGGAGGGGAGCGGGGAAUUCCUAGUGUAGCGGUGAAAUGCGCAGAUAUUAGGAGGAACACCGGUGGCGAAGGCGCCGCUCUGGACUGAAACUGACGCUGAGGAGCGAAAGCAUGGGUAGCAAACAGGAUUAGAUACCCUGGUAGUCCAUGCCGUAAACGGUGGGCACUAGGUGUGGGUUCCAACUAACAGGAUCCGCGCCGUCGCUAACGCAUUAAGUGCCCCGCCUGGGGAGUACGGUCGCAAGACUAAAACUCAAAGGAAUUGACGG